UACGUAGGGUGCGAGCGUUGUCCGGAAUUACUGGGCGUAAAGAGCUCGUAGGUGGUUUGUCGCGUUGUUCGUGAAAUCUCACGGCUUAACUGUGAGCGUGCGGGCGAUACGGGCAGACUGGAGUACUGCAGGGGAGACUGGAAUUCCUGGUGUAGCGGUGGAAUGCGCAGAUAUCAGGAGGAACACCAGUGGCGAAGGCGGCUCACUGGCCCGGUACUGACGCUGAGGUGCGAAAGCGUGGGGAGCAAACAGG
rnacentral:rRNA from 1 species